UGUAAUAAAAAUAUUAACAGUAAGCAUUAUCUUAACAUCGGACUAACAGAAGACUGUGGAAUAACAUUUCAUGUUAACACCGCCUUUCUAUGCGAUUCUCAUGGGUUGCAGGUUCAAUGAUCUAUCCAUUUUACGAUAAUCGUAUCGAAAGUAGACCUAAAAAAUUAAGAAGACUAUACCAAAAAUAGGCAGAACAA